rnacentral:rRNA from 1 species
GGUUUGCGGCAGCUUACCAUGCAGUCGAGCGCCCCGCAAGGGGAGCGGCAGACGGGUGAGUAACGCGUGGGAACGUACCUUUUGCUACGGAAUAACUCAGGGAAACUUGUGCUAAUACCGUAUGUGCCCUUCGGGGGAAAGAUUUAUCGGCAAAGGAUCGGCCCGCGUUGGAUUAGCUAGUUGGUGAGGUAAAGGCUCACCAAGGCGACGAUCCAUAGCUGGUCUGAGAGGAUGAUCAGCCACACUGGGACUGAGACACGGCCCAGACUCCUACGGGAGGCAGCAGUGGGGAAUAUUGGACAAUGGGCGCAAGCCUGAUCCAGCCAUGCCGCGUGAGUGAUGAAGGCCCUAGGGUUGUAAAGCUCUUUCACCGGUGAAGAUAAUGACGGUAACCGGAGAAGAAGCCCCGGCUAACUUCGUGCCAGCAGCCGCGGUAAUACGAAGGGGGCUAGCGUUGUUCGGAUUUACUGGGCGUAAAGCGCACGUAGGCGGCCUUGUAAGUCAGGGGUGAAAUCCCACGGCUCAACCGUGGAACUGCCUUUGAAACUGCAGGGCUUGAAUCCUGGAGAGGGUGGCGGAAUUCCUGGUGUAGGAGUGAAAUCCGUAGAUAUCAGGAGGAACACCGGUGGCGAAGGCGGCCACCUGGACAGGUAUUGACGCUGAGGUGCGAAAGUGUGGGGAGCAAACAGGAUUAGAUACCCUGGUAGUCCACACCGUAAACGAUGGAUACUAGGUGUCGGGGACUUGAUCUUCGGUGCCGUAGCUAACGCGUUAAGUAUCCCGCCUGGGGAGUACGGUCGCAAGGCUGAACUCAAAGAAA